rnacentral:rRNA from 1 species
ACUACGGGUGGCAGCAGUGGGGAAUAUUGGGCAAUGGGCGCAAGCCUGACCCAGCAACGCCGCGUGAAGGAAGAAGGCUUUCGGGUUGUAAACUUCUUUUCUCAGGGACGAAGAAAGUGACGGUACCUGAGGAAUAAGCCACGGCUAACUACGUGCCAGCAGCCGCGGUAAUACGUAGGUGGCAAGCGUUAUCCGGAUUUAUUGGGUGUAAAGGGCGUGUAGGCGGGAGCGCAAGUCAGAUGUGAAAACUCAGGGCUCAACCCUGAGCCUGCAUUUGAAACUGUGUUUCUUGAGUGCUGGAGAGGCAAUCGGAAUUCCGUGUGUAGCGGUGAAAUGCGUAGAUAUACGGAGGAACACCAGUGGCGAAGGCGGAUUGCUGGACAGUAACUGACGCUGAGGCGCGAAAGCGUGGGGAGCAAACAGGAUUAGAUACCCCAGUAGUC